UUAAAGCAAAUUCUAUAACACACAGUAAUAACUCUAAACCACUAAAAAUGUAUAAUUGGAGUUUUGAUAUGUAAUCAGAAUAGCUUUAAUUUAUGGUUUUCUUAAUUUUAACUUUUCACAAGCAUAAAAUUAUCAAAUUGGCUACAAUG
rnacentral:snoRNA from 1 species